UACGUAGGGGGCUAGCGUUGUCCGGAAUCAUUGGGCGUAAAGCGCGUGUAGGCGGUUCGGUAAGUCCGCUGUGAAAGUCGGGGGCUCAACCCUCGAAUGCCGGUGGAUACUGUCGGGCUAGAGUGCGGAAGAGGCGAGUGGAAUUCCUGGUGUAGCGGUGAAAUGCGCAGAUAUCAGGAGGAACACCUAUUGCGAAGGCAGCUCGCUGGGACGUAACUGACGCUGAGACGCGAAAGCGUGGGGAGCAAACAGG
rnacentral:rRNA from 1 species